GACGAACGCUGGCGGCGUGCCUAAUACAUGCAAGUCGAGCGAGACUCUUCGGAGUCUAGCGGCGGACGGGUGAGUAACACGUGGGCAACCUGCCUGUAAGACUGGGAUAACACCGGGAAACCGGUGCUAAUACCGGAUAAUCCUUUUCCUCUCAUGAGGAAAAGCUGAAAGACGGUUUCGGCUGUCACUUACAGAUGGGCUCGCGGCGCAUUAGCUAGUUGGUGAGGUAACGGCUCACCAAGGCGACGAUGCGUAGCCGACCUGGGAGGGUGAUCGGCCACACUGGGACUGCGACACGGCCCAGACUCCUACGGGAGGCAGGAGUAGGGAAUCUUCCACAAUGGACGAAAGUCUGAUGGAGCAACGCCGCGUGAGCGAUGAAGGCCUUCGGGUCGUAAAGCUCUGUUGUUAGGGAAGAACAAGUACCGGAGUAACUGCCGGUACCUUGACGGUACCUAACCGGAAAGCCACGGCUAACUACGUGCCAGCAGCCGCAGUAAAAC
rnacentral:rRNA from 1 species